CCACCAGCCAGCCUUUUCCUCUUGCAAGUUCCCUCUCUCUCACUAGAGAGAGAGAGCUGUUUUUCUUUCUCUUUCUUUUGUCUAUUAAACCCCUGCUCCUAAACUCGUGUGUGUCCGUGUCCUAAACUCUCCUGGCACCAGAAGAACCCUGAUUAUUUACCCAGACAACUGUAGCUGCUUCAAAGAACUACCUACAGAAUCAACUGGGAACAGAGCCACACCCUUUUUUCCCCCAAACACAAAACCUUUGAUUCUUUUCAGAAUAAAAUUUGGCAAAGCAAAGAGUGAAAAAGCUUGAGAAAAGCACAGCCAAUCUAGUUUAAGGCUCCAGCCCACUGAAAUCUGCAGCCACACUCACUACUCCUAUAAAACUGCUGGUUUUGAAAAUCAUCAAUGAGACUCCAAUGGUGCAAAUAGAAUCAAAAGUUCCUGAUAUAGAAUAAGCAAAUGAUGGAAGAAGCCAAGUUUCCUGAGUGGCCACUAGGAAAACUCUGUCUUCUUUAUCAAAACUAUGAGGUUCCUGACCCUUGGAGAUGAGAGUAUAAUUAAAACUGCAAUUAGCAAGUAGAUAAUCAGGAGCGGUGAAAAUACAAAAGAAGAAACUGAGAAGAGCUAUUAUGUUAAAUCAGAAUCUAAAUAUAGUUUUCUGUAGUCUAAAAAUAAAGGAAGCAUUCUAUUAAUU
rnacentral:lncRNA from 10 species